rnacentral:rRNA from 1 species
GACAGAGGUGCCGAGCGUUAGGCGGAAUCACUGGGCUUAAAGCGUGUGUAGGCGGACCGUUAAGUACCUUGUGAAAAUCCCCCCGGCUCAACCGGGGAACGGCUGGGUAUACUGGCGGUCUUGAGCCAUCCAGGGGCAGUCGGAACAGACGGUGGAGCGGUGAAAUGCGUAGAUAUCGUCUGGAACGCCGAAGGUGAAAACAGACUGCUGGGGAUGCGCUGACGCUGAGACACGAAAGCCAGGGGAGCGGAACGGGAU